rnacentral:rRNA from 1 species
UCGCGGCUUAUCAGCUUGUUGGUGGGGUGAUGGCGUACCAAGGCGACGACGGGUAACCGGCCUGAGAGGGUGACCGGCCACACUGGGAGCGAGACACGGCCCAGAAUCUUACGGGAGGCAGCAGUGGGGAAUAUUGUGCAAUGGGCGGAAGCCGGACGCAGGGACGCCGCUUGAGGGAUGAAGUCCUUCGGGUUUUAAACGUCUUUCACCGAUCGACGAAGGUCCAGUUUCUGCUGGGCUGACGGUAGGUCGAGAAGAAGCACCGGCCAACUACCAGCCAGCAGCCGCGGUAAUACGUAGGGUGCGAGCGUUGUCCGGAAUUAUUGGGCGUAAAGAGAUAAUAGGCGGUGUGUCGCGUCGGCCGUGAAAACCUGGGGCUUAACUCUGGGCGUGCGGUCGAUACGGGCAUCACUUGAGUUUGGCAGGGGAGAAAGGAAUUCUUGGUGUAGCGGUGAAAUGCGCAGAUAUCAGGAGGAACACUGGUGCGAAGGCGGGUCUCUGGGCCGAUUCCGACCAUGAGGAGCGAAAGCAUGGGUAGCGAACAGGAUUAGAUACCGUGGUAGUCCCACCGUAAACGUUGGGCAUCUAGGUGUGGGGCUCAUUUCUCGGUUUUCGCGCUGCAGGUAACUCAUUAAGCGCCCCACCUGGGGAGUACGG